rnacentral:lncRNA from 1 species
CCCAUCUAGGAAUCUUCCCAAGGUGAGGCGUCAAGGAUUGUCCAUUUCUACCCUCAGGAAUUCUCGGAUCCCGCGAGUGAGUUCCACCAUGAGAAUCUUGUCCACAAGGUGGUCUUGCGGUUCUCUGUUGUCAUGGAGACCUCCAGCACCGCUCUCCACUACGUGCCUCUUCUCCUGCUUAAGAACCUGGACGUCUUAGACGAGCUGGGCUUAUGGUGAAUGUGAUUGGGGACAGUCAAGGGUCUCUGAGGCCAUGCUGGAAGGUGGUUGGGUGAUGAACGAAGACAUCUGUCCUGAUCAGUCUGAAAAAUAAAAAAUCCACCUCUGUAAGGAUUUGUAACUUAUAAUGAAGUUUUGCUGCCAACAGAGCUCUUUGAAAUUGACAAGGACACUACUGUGUACACCAUCCUGAGCUCUGUCCUCCACAACCCAUACCACUUUGAGAAGCCAGAUGCUUUCCAUCCUGGCCACUUCCUGGAUUUGGAGGGCAACUUCAGGAAGCAAGAAGCCUUCAUCCUAUUCUCCAUGGCUCUGCUUCCUGCCCCACUGGGGAGGGGGAGAAGGGAUGAAGAUCCCCUCAGAGUCCUUGCAUCCAGCCUCGUCUCUGCCCACAAUGAAUCUGUGGAGGUCUCCUGACUCCUCCCUGUUCAUUCUACCCUGUGGACACUACUGUGUACACCAUCCUGAGUUAUGUCCUCCAUGACACACACCACUUUGAGAAGCCAGAUGCCUUCCACCCUAGCCACUUCCUGGAUUCAGAGGGCAACUUCAGGAAGCAGGAAGUCUUCAUCUCAUCCUCCAUGGGUAAGCCAUGCUCCUUACAGUCUAUAAGAAUGCCUACUUGCCCCCUUUUCUGUGUAUGGCUUUCUCCCUUUGUCCAACCCCAAACACUGUGUGAACAUUUUUGAAAAGGAUGAGGAUUCUCAAGGAAAGAGAAAGCAAGACAUGUACAGACACUAUGAUAGUGUGAGUGGGAUGAGAAUGAGGAGGUAUGAUGGGAGAGAAAGGUGGAGAGUAAGUUGUAGAUAACAUGAAAGACGACACACAUACAGGCACGUGCACACACAAAUGACAGACAGAUAAAUGGAUCCAUUAUUGAGCAUCUGACAUGUGCCAAGAAUUUGGAAAAGCAUUUUCAGCUUUUUUUCAUAAUAAAAAUAACUUUAUUAUUUUUUUCUAAUUUUUA